rnacentral:rRNA from 1 species
UUGAACGCUGGCGGCAUGCCUUACACAUGCAAGUCGAACGGUAGAGGGGCAACCCUUGAGAGUGGCGAACGGGUGAGUAAUAUAUCGGAACGUGCCCAGUCGUGGGGAUAACGCAGCGAAAGCUGCGCUAAUACCGCAUACGAUCUAAGGAUGAAAGCGGGGGAUCGCAAGACCUCGCGCGAUUGGAGCGGCCGAUAUCAGAUUAGGUAGUUGGUGGGGUAAAAGCCUACCAAGCCGACGAUCUGUAGCUG